UCUCGAUUAGCUCAGUUGGUAGAGCAGGGGUCUUAUUAACCCUUUGUCGGGGGUUCAAGUCCCCCAUUGAGAA
rnacentral:tRNA from 1 species